UGCCGGUCGUCGGGAGAGAGUGACUCCCACCGUCACCGCCGAAGGCGCAACCCCCAGGAACCGCUCAGGCAAAAGGGCCGACGACGCAGC
rnacentral:ncRNA from 2 species